UACGUAGGGGGCUAGCGUUGUCCGGAAUCAUUGGGCGUAAAGCGCGCGUAGGUGGCCUCGUAAGUCCGCUGUGAAAGUCAAAGGCUCAACCUUUGAAAGCCGGUGGAUACUGUGAGGCUAGAGUCCGGAAGAGGCGAGUGGAACUCCUGGUGUAGCGGUGGAAUGCGCAGAUAUCAGGAAGAACACCAACGGCGAAGGCAGCUCGCUGGGACGGUACUGACGCUGAGACGCGAAAGCGUGGGGAGCGAACAGG
rnacentral:rRNA from 1 species